AGUGGGGAAUAUUGCGCAAUGGGCGAAAGCCUGACGCAGCAACGCCGCGUGAGGGAUGACGGCCUUCGGGUUGUAAACCUCUUUCAGCAGGGAAGAAGCGAAAGUGACGGUACCUGCAGAAGAAGCACCGGCUAACUACGUGCCAGCAGCCGCGGUAAUACGUAGGGUGCAAGCGUUGUCCGGAUUUAUUGGGCGUAAAGAGCUCGUAGGCGGUUAGUCACGUCGGAUGUGAAAUCCCAGGGCUUAACCCUGGGCCUGCAUUCGAUACGGGCUGACUAGAGUGUUGUAGGGGAGACUGGAACUCCUGGUGUAGCGGUGAAAUGCGCAGAUAUCAGGAAGAACACCGGUGGCGAAGGCGGGUCUCUGGGCAACUACUGACGCUGAGGAGCGAAAGCGUGGGGAGCAAA
rnacentral:rRNA from 1 species